CAGGACCAGGUACAUACAGGUCAGGACCAGGUACAUACAGGUCAGGACCAGGUACAUACAGGUUAGGACCAGGUACAUACAGGUCAGGUCAGGACCAGGUACAUACAGGUCAGAUCAGGACCAGGUACAUAUAGGUCAGGGUAGGACCAGGUACAUAAGGGUCAGGACCAGGUACAUACAGGUCAGGACCAGGUACAUACAGGUCAGAUUAGGACCAGGUACCAGUGGCCAGUUGACGUCAUGAAGAUAUAAUAGAGAUAGGUUGACAUUUAUGAUUGACAGAUGAAACAGACUGAAGUGGUUGUGCAGGUCUGGUACUGAUGAACAGAUAGAACCAUGUCUCAGCAGACCGUAUAGCGCCACUCAGGGUCAACCAGGGUUACCAUGACACAUUUAGGCCCAGUUCCCUCCUUUGACCUAUGACCUAUGACCUAUGCUUAAUCAGUGUCCAGGAAAACACUUAACACUUAUUGUCCAUGUUGACUCAAUACAAACAAAAUAAAUAAUAAUAAAUAUUAAUGAAUAAUAAUGAAUAAAAAGGUGGUCUGGUC